UACGAAGGGUGCAAGCGUUACUCGGAAUUACUGGGCGUAAAGGGUGCGUAGGCGGUCGUUUAAGUCCGUUGUGAAAUCCCUGGGCUCAACCUGGGAAUGGCAGUGGAUACUGGACGGCUAGAAUGCGGUAGAGGGUAGUGGAAUUCCCGGUGUAGCAGUGAAAUGCGUAGAGAUCGGGAGGAACACCAGUGGCGAAGGCGGCUACCUGGACCAGCAUUGACGCUCAGGCGCGAAAGCGUGGGGAGCAAACAGG
rnacentral:rRNA from 1 species